GGCUCUUCCCAUCUGGAAGCGCAGGUUCAGACAUUUGGUGUAUGUGCUUGGCUGAGGAGCCAAUGGGGCAAAACUACCAUCUGUGGGAUUAUGACUAAACGCCUCUAAGUCAGAAUCCCCCCUAAAUGUAAUGAUACGGCAGUGCCGCGGAGCCUCGGUUGGCUCCG